UACGUAGGGGGCUAGCGUUUGUCCGGAUUUAUUGGGCGUAAAGAGCGUGUAGGCGGCCAGGUAGGUCUGCUGUGAAAACUCGAGGCUCAACCUCGAGACGUCGGCGGAAACCAUCUGGCUAGAGUCCGGAAGAGGAGAGUGGAAUUCCUGGUGUAGCGGUGAAAUGCGCAGAUAUCAGGAAGAACACCCGUGGCGAAGGCGGCUCUCUGGGACGGUACUGACGCUGAGACGCGAAAGCGUGGGGAGCGAACAGG
rnacentral:rRNA from 1 species